rnacentral:rRNA from 1 species
CAGAAGUGCGAAUGCUGACAUAAGUAACGAUAAAGCGGGUGAAAAGCCCGCUCGCCGGAAGACCAAGGGUUCCUGUCCAACGUUAAUCGGGGCAGGGUGAGUCGACCCCUAAGGCGAGGCCGAAAGGCGUAGUCGAUGGGAAACGGGUUAAUAUUCCCGUACUUGGUGUUACUGCGAAGGGGGGACGGAGAAGGCUAUGUUGGCCGGGCGACGGUUGUCCCGGUUUAAGCGUGUAGGUGUGUGUUCCAGGUAAAUCCGGUUCACUUUAACACUGAGGCGUGAUGACGAGGCACUACGGUGCUGAAGCAACAAAUGCCCUGCUUCCAGGAAAAGCCUCUAAGCAUCAGGUAACAUCAAAUCGUACCCCAAACCGACACAGGUGGUCAGGUAGAGAAUACCAAGGCGCUUGAGAGAACUCGGGUGAAGGAACUAGGCAAAAUGGUGCCGUAACUUCGGGAGAAGGCACGCUGACAC